CUCUGCUCUGCGUCAGGAUGAGUACGUCAUGCUGAAGGAACGUCCCUGUAAGAUCGUGGGAUUGACCACAUCGUCCCCUGGAAAACACGGCGGUACCAAGGUUACCAUAGUCGGAGUCGAUGUCUUCACUGGUCAGGAGUACCAGGAUGUGGUCCCCAUCACCGAGAACUGUGAAGUUCCACUCGUCAAAGACUAUGCGGUGACUUACAUUGAUAAUGGCUAAAUGAUCCUCGUCGAACACGACAGCGAGAACUUCCCUACGGAAAAAGCCCUAAAGAUUCCAGAAGGUGAUCUUGGUGACAAGAUCGUAGCCCAUUAUCUGGAUGGUGACCCUC